UACCUGAAAUAUUAGCUUUCAGUUAAAGCUGUUAGGAAGCCUGCCACAAAUCAAACUCCAACAUACCUUCGCAGAAAACCCUUCAAGGACUCUAGAUCUAGUUUAGUUUUUCCUAAAUGGCAUUGCAUAGAUCACCAGUAUUGGCCAUUGUGGUGCUUUGCUAAAAAGGGAAAUUCUGGGGUGCCUGGGUGGUGGCACAGUGGGUUAAAGUUUCUGACUCUUGAUCUCAGGAUUGUGAGGAUUGUGAGUUCAAGCCCCAUGUUUGAUUCCUUGCUGGGCAUGGAAACUACUAAAAAAAAAAAAAAAAAGAAAAAGAAAAGAAAAGAAAAUAAAGAAGAAAGAAAAGAAAAGAAAAAAAAGAAAAGAAAAGAAAAAUUCCUUGGUCCCAACAGAGACCAACUACAUCAGAAUAUUUGGGGUGUACAACAGGAUUCAAUAUCGGCAUACACUACAAAGGGAUCAUCACAGGAGUCUAGUGACUGUUCCUCACUACACAUUGGCCUCUUUCACCCAUCACCCACCCUCGACCUCCUCUGAGAGCCAUCACUAUGUGUGGCCAUAUGACUAAGUCUCGAGAUGCAUGUGACUUCUGUAAAAUCACCUUGAAAGUUAGUGGGGACCUGUCUUUUUUAACCCUUUUUCUGUAUCAUGGUGCCUGGAAUUGGAUAUGAUGGCUGGAGUCUGAGCAAGCGUAUUGGCUCACAAGGGUUACAAGCACAGCCUGGAGAAGAAGAAACAGUGAGCUUGAAGAAAUGGGUUCUGAAAGAAUUUGGAGCAGCUUUAUAACCAAUUCAAUGCUGACUUUUGGCCUCAAAAUGUUGGAGAUUUACAUAUAUAAUACUUCAGACUUGAGGUUGGUCCAGUUCUAUUUCUUACCAUACCGGCCUCCUAUAUUUUGACUGGAAAUAGACGAAGAUAGCAUCUCUGAACUCCAUCAAUAAUACUCAGCAUCUCUUAAAGACCUACGACAUGCCAGGAAGCUUGCCUACAUUGUCUCUUUUAGUUUUUAUGGUCCCUGUUAGAAUCAGAGUGUGGUCAAAGGAGCAGACUGCCUGGUGUAAGACCUAGUCUGUGCUUCUUACUAGUCCUAAGAUCUUGCAAAGCUCAUUUAUCUGUCCUAUGCUUCAAUUUCUUUCGUUUGUUUUUUUUUUAAGAUUUUAUUUAUUUAUUCAUGAGAGACCCAGAGAGAGAGAGAGAGAGAGAGAGAGAGAGAGAGAGAGAGAGAAGCAGAGAUCCAGGCAGAGGCAGAAGCUGGCCCCAUGCUAGGAACCCAGUGUGGGACUCGAUCCCGGGUCUCCAGGAUCAUGCCCUGGAUUGAAGGUGGCGCUAAACUGCUGAGCCACCCGGGUUGCCUGGGCUUCAGUUUCUUAAUCUACAAAACCAGGAUAAAAUUAUAUCCACCUAUCUGUGUUGUUGAUAAUUAAGUUAGCUGAUAAAUCAAAAGGAUUUCGAAUACUGCUUCACUAUCUGCUGUUCUUAGUGUUCUUAGUGUCCCCCUCAUCCCCACUGCUGAGAAGAAAACUGAUGCUCAGAGACUCCACCCUAUUAAUAAGUGGCAGAGGUAGGAUUAAACCCUGGGGCUGCUAACUCUAGAGUAGUCAUCACUCCAAGAAACCCUUUGAUGCCUCAUUCUAAUUGAGUGAUCAUGCCCAAUGUGCAAAGACAACUUUUCAGAAUGCUCACUCCUCAAAACUCGUGCUUGAAAAUGCCCUUCACAGGGAAGGUGACAGGAAGCUGACCCUCCUCACCUCUCAUUGCAGCCUAGAGUACAAGGCACACCUGGCUUCCAGCAGCCUACCUACAUUAUGAAGGGUUAUCUGGUGUGAAUCUGAGCUAUUAGUGGCUUCACCCACAUAAUGAACACA